rnacentral:lncRNA from 1 species
AGAUGAAUACACAUCUGUUAAACAAGCUGCAUAGAUUCUCCAGAGAGUUCAAUAUAAUUUUUCUCGGUAUUUUUCCUGUAAAAAUACGCCAUUAGACAAAUGAAUUGAAACAUUUUUACCAAAGCUUCAAUGCAGAAAUCACGGCUGCACAAAAGUACAUGAAAUGGGGAGGUCACAUCAUAUUAGUGAUCAGCUGUCAUAAUCAGAAGAGGCCAUAGCUCCAUUUGAUUGAUCCAUUCAGACAGCAUUCAUUGAAUAUUGGAGGAACAGGACUCAGAUACAGCCUUCCAGAAGCUCACUUUCCUGCAGAGAAAAAAAUGGGAACACAUAUGAUGACCCUUCAACGUGAUGAGUACUGUGUCCCAAAGUGCUGAGAGAACUCCUCAGAUGGGUCUCUAAUUGAGCCUAGCAGCUAUGGAGAGUGAAGUGAUACAUGGACAGAUGGUUAAAGCUGAGCCAAGAUUUAAAGUACAAUUAAAAAGUUAAUCAGACACUA